CACAUACCUUCUUGAAGCUGAGCCUACAUUUUGACACCUUGACCCUUAUCUUAAGGAACAACAAGAAAGCUGCAUUUUCACUUUAACUACUUUAGAUCUAAAUUAAUCCCAAGCUUUAUUGUCUGUGGGUUUGUUGCUAGAAGGGCAAUUAGAAAACAACUACUCUACUUUACGGUUUCUUACAUAUGAAUACUCAGAAAAUGACUUGGCAGAAUUCCUGCCUUCUAAAUGCCACAGCUGGGAACAGACACGUUGGUCCAGAGGAUCUCCAGACACUGUAUGGCCAGUAUAAAUUGAGAAAAACAUCUGAGAAGCUCCUGUUCAGCUUUACUGCAUGAACACGGGGUGACUCAUAACUCUUUGGAAGAAGGGUUCAUACUGUAAGUUUUACAUUUACUGCCUACCCAGUAGUUGUUCAGAAGUGCUUUUUAUUACUAAAGUGAUCAAUUAAAAAAAACAUGGUUAUAGGUAAUGGUUAACAUGGAUUUGGACAAAGACAGAUCUUGGUGAACUGUUACCAACAAUAGUAAUGGACACAGUGUGGGCAUAUGAUAUGGUAUAUUUAAAUUUCCAGAAGACUUUUGAUAGAAUAUCCCUAUACAGUUCAUUCUCGAAUUGCAAGCAACAGACUUUCAAGAUAAUCUGAGUGUUUGGAUUGAGACCAGGAUAAUGAAAAAUUACACAGAAUUCAGAUAGGGGCUUAACACUCAAAUUAGGGUGAUGUAAUUAGAGGAGUACCACAGGGAUCUGUACUACGACCACUGCCCUUCCUAAUUAUAAACUGUGAUCUACAGUAUAUUCUGUUAUAGUUAAUAAGCUAGUAAAAUUCACAGAUGAUAGAUAAUUAAGUAGGAGGAUGAGCCAACUUUAAUAUAGACAAGUGCCAAGUGUUACAUACAGGUAGGAAAAAUGUCAUCUACUGUAUAAAUAUAAAAUGAGAAACAAUGAGCACGAAGAAACUAUGAAAAACGCUUGGGUGUUUGUUUAAACAUUAAUUUCUUAUAGUCAAGGUGGAGAGGCAAACAGAAUGUAUAGUUAAAGUGUAGAAUUUAAAUCAAGGGAUGUUAUGUUAAAAUUGUAGAACGCAGAAGUUGGAUGACAUUUAGAAUAUUGUUUACAAUUUUGUACAGUACAUUAUAAAAUACUAUUCUGGUUUUUGGUUGUGGGGGUCUGGAACAUUUAGUUGCAGUACAGCCAUGUUCCUGAAGUUGAUAUUCUUUUAUUCAAGA
rnacentral:lncRNA from 1 species